rnacentral:lncRNA from 1 species
UGUGGGGCCCCGCCCAGUUUCUUGGCACAUCCUGACAACACUGCCAGCAUUAUGUUCCAAGAGCUUCCAAGGAAUAUCUUUCAAAAAGGCAAAGAUACAUUUUUCACACUGGCACUUACAUCUAUUAGGUAACUAAUCAGCAAUGACGGCAGUAGGUACUGUCUCUAACUACCUACACACCAUGUCACCCCUGAAGAAAGGCAAAAGUCAGCUGAACUCAAUCACCAUUAACAGCACUAGAAGGAUUUGGGCCCUGUGCUAGCCCGCUGUGGUCUGGGAGCAAGUUAGGAAGAUACAGUGCUCAGCAUCUUUGGAAUUGAGUUCACAGAGAGAGGUCCUAGAUCUAAGCUUAGGAGCAGAGGAUGCUCUGCAGCCAGGAUGGCCCACGGCUUUCAAUGAAGACCUCAGAUCCCUUCACUUGAGCUGAUUUCAAAGAGGCUUCCUCUGCUCUACGGCCACCCAUCCUGUUUUCUCAUGCCAGGGAACCACCAGCUUGAGCCCACCUAGGAAGAAGGGGCUCCAUCCCAUCCGCAAGGGGCACUGAGGAUCACAACUCUUCAGGAACUUGGCCACACUGAGCAUUUCCGCUCCUGGCAUGUGUAUCUUCAUUCCCUUUAGCUUUGUCACACUCUUGCAAACAGCGACUACCAUAUACCUUAUUUACCUGAGUAUCCC